rnacentral:tRNA from 1 species
GGGGUUGUGGCUCAGUGGUAGAGCACUUGCCUCGCAUGUUUGGGGCACUGGGUUCAAUCCUCAGCACCA